rnacentral:rRNA from 1 species
UACGUAGGGGGGCUAGCGUUGUCCGGAAUCAUUGGGCUAAAGAGCGUGUAGGCGGCUCGAUAAGUCCGCUGUGAAAGUCCAGGGCUCAACCCUGGGAUGCCGGUGGAUACUGUCGGGCUCGAGUCCGGAAGAGGCGAGUGGAAUCCUGGUGUAGCGGUGAAAUGCGCAGAUAUCAGGAGGAACACCAAUGGCGAAGGCGGUCUCUG